rnacentral:snoRNA from 1 species
AAACUAUGAUGAGGGCACUUCCUAAGUAAGUCCAUGAAUCUCUCCCAAGCUCCAUACAAACUCUCUUGGUCAUGGUGAACAAAGGUCAUUAUCUCAUUGCGUAGCUU